rnacentral:rRNA from 1 species
UACGGAGGAUGCGAGCGUUAUCCGGAUUUACUGGGUGUAAAGGGAGCGUAGACGGCGAUGCAAGCCAGAUGUGAAAGCCCGGGGCUCAACCCCGGGACUGCAUUUGGAACUGUAUAGCUAGAGUGUCGGAGAGGCAGGCGGAAUUCCUAGUGUAGCGGUGAAAUGCGUAGAUAUUAGGAGGAACACCAGUGGCGAAGGCGGCCUGCUGGACGAUGACUGACGUUGAGGCUCGAAAGCGUGGGGAGCAAACAGG